CGGACGGGUGAGUAACACGUGGAUAACCUACCUAUAAGACUGGGAUAACUUCGGGAAACCGGAGCUAAUACCGGAUAAUAUUUUGAACCGCAUGGUUCAAAAGUAAAAGACGGUCUUGCUGUCACUUAUAGAUGGAUCCGCGCUGCAUUAGCUAGUUGGUAAGGUAACGGCUUACCAAGGCAACGAUGCAUAGCCGACCUGAGAGGGUGAUCGGCCACACUGGAACUGAGACACGGUCCAG
rnacentral:rRNA from 1 species